ACGGGUGAUUAAUACAUCGGAUCGUAUCCUGGAGUGGGGGAUAGCCCGGCGAAAGCCGGAUUAAUACCGCAUACGCUCUGAGGAGGAAAGCGGGGGACCUUCGGGCCUCGCGCUCAGGGGCGGCCGAUGGCGGAUUAGGUAGUUGGUGGGGUAAAGGCCUACCAAGCCUACGAUCCGUAGCUGGUCUGAGAGGACGACCAGCCACCCUGGGACUGAGACACGGCCCAUACUCCUACGGGAGGCAGCAUUGGGGAAUUUUGGACAAUGGGGGCAACCCUGAUCCACCAAUGCCGCGUGUGUGAAAAAGGCUUUCGGGUUGUAAAGCACUUUUGUCCGGAAAGAAAUCAUCGGGGCCAAUACCCCUGGUGGAUGACGGUACCGGAAGAAUAAGCACCGGCUAACUACGUGCCAGCAGCCGCGGUAAUUCGUAGGGUGCGAGCGUUUAUCGGAAUUUCUGGGCGUAAAGCGUGCGCAGGCGGUGCUGUAAGACCGAUGUUUAAUUUCCGGUCUUAACCUGUGAACUGCAUUGGUGACUGCACCGCUUGGAUUAUGGUCAAAUGGGGGGGUGGAAAUU
rnacentral:rRNA from 1 species